CGUAGGGUGCGAGCGUUGUCCGGAAUUAUUGGGCGUAAAGAGCUCGUAGGCGGCCUGUCGCGUCGGAUGUGAAAGCCCGGGGCUUAACCCCGGGUCUGCAUUCGAUACGGGCAGGCUAGAGUUCGGUAGGGGAGAUCGGAAUUCCUGGUGUAGCGGUGAAAUGCGCAGAUAUCAGGAGGAACACCGGUGGCGAAGGCGGGUCUCUGGGCCGAUACUGACGCUGAGGAGCGAAAGCGUGGGGAGCGAACAGG
rnacentral:rRNA from 1 species